CCUCGACCCAUGAACCACUCUGCAAAGCCACGGGGUAAACUUUGUCCUCUAGAAGGCCUAUGUCUCUGGAGCUCAGGGGCAAUCCACCAAGGUUCCAGAACCUCCCCAACCCACAGACAUGUUGAGCUUCUACUCUGUGCCAGACAUGCCCUAGCCUUGGAGAUGUAAGAAUAAAUCGCUGACUGCUGGGACAUCAAGCAGUGAUCAGUCCCACGCAUGUCUGGGGCAGACUCACCUGUGACUCAGUUUCCCGAUGGAACCAGUGAGCAGUCCCCCGGAGAGUACUGCACUCUGAGUCGGCAUCUUGGCCCAGGACUCAAGAAGAAAGGCAGACGCGAGGUGUCGAGGCGUCGUUCGGUGCCUCAGCUUGUCCCUACCCCCUCCGUCGCCCCAGUCGGGGUCCCCAGGGGAGGGGGGCGGCUGAGCCUGAGAACUGCUAAUGAAGCCGCAGCCAAUUAACGCCCGGGCCGGGCUUGGGGGCGGAUAAAAUUAGCCGCGGCGGCGGCA